rnacentral:rRNA from 1 species
UACGAAGGGGGCUAGCGUUGCUCGGAAUUACUGGGCGUAAAGCGCACGUAGGCGGCUUUCUAAGUCGGGGGUGAAAUCCUGGAGCUCAACUCCAGAACUGCCUUCGAUACUGGAAAGCUCGAGUCCGGGAGAGGUGAGUGGAACUGCGAGUGUAGAGGUGAAAUUCGUAGAUAUUCGCAAGAACACCAGUGGCGAAGGCGGCUCACUGGCCCGGUACUGACGCUGAGGUGCGAAAGCGUGGGGAGCAA